GCAACUGAGCAAUGCUGUCAUGUCAGUAUGGACCAGAAUCUACUAAUCUGAACAUCAAUUUUGUCUGUUCUAGACAUGAUUUGAACUCAAGCUCCUCUUAGUGACAGUUGGGAAUGCUGUGGCAGCUCAUUAAUCACCAGGACAGCCUGGAGGAGCUGCACUUAAUCCCAUGAUGGUAUCCUCACCAUCCUCCACCGCUGCGGUUGCUCAUAAAAGUCAGUUCAAGGCAAGAAUAUUGGCAUUCAAAUUUGUGACUGCUGCUGUGAACAGAUGUCACCUCUGGCGAGUAAGGGUAAUGGCACCAGCAGUAAGGCAGGCCCACCCUGGCUCCUGGGGCUAAACAACAUACCACCACUGGGCUUCAGAGGGGGCAGAGGCAGGAGGGACAGCUUCAACAAGUGAACGUUUCACAAGCAUGCUCUCCGCAGUCCUUUUCCCUUCCCUGCAAUUAUCAUCAAAGAACAUCUGUUUGUUGUUCCUCAGGCACCCUCCCCUCACAAGUGUCCUAGCCUCACCUUGACCCAUACUUUCAAUUGUAGUGGAUGUUAUGACUAAAAAUAAACAGUGUGAAGGAGUGAGGCUACCCUUUGUGUUAGCAGGGCGUUCUCCCUCGCUGCUGCUGAGAGGAAGGAUAUCCCCCAACGAACGCAGCCACUUCCUCAAUCUCCUCAUAACCCUUGACAGGUACAUGGACACCAACCACAGCAUCUGUGGUGGAUCAGAUGCGAAGCUGAGUUGCCAGACUCGCUUUGUAUCCGGGCUUUUAAGUUGAUCCCACUGUCAUUUUGCUGCUGUCACAGUCUGAAUGACCUGUCAAAGAAAAGUUCAGUAGUUCCUGGCAAGCAAUCUGAUACACACAGGGGCUGUGGUUUUGCCCACAAGGCUUUAUAUAGAUGAGAAGAAAAAAACACCCAGAAAAGGUGCAUAAUUCAAAUAUUACAUUUGUUACAUCGGCUUCUAACAAGUGUGCACUCAUUGUAGAGGCUGUAAUUCGUCCAGUUCUCGUCGGUCACUCAGUCAAUUAGCAGAGUUGUGUGAAAUAUGGCGCUCCUUUGCUACAGGGAACAUCCAAAGUGCAGCAUGAUUAACAGAAUCUGAUGUGCACUGUGAGCGUGUACAUACAAGAGAGCAAAUAAAGCAUCCUUUUUAAAAGAUCGGAGACUAAGAAUUAGGCAAUUUGCAUAUUUUUUGUCUUCAAUAUUUAAAAGAGCAGAUUUCUAUUUUAUAAACUGUGCUGAAGGGGUUGUUGAACCUGUAAUGUAAUUUUCGCAUGAAAUUAGGUAUACUAGAAGAUGUCUGCAGUGGUUUCCUCUUGCUCCCUGAGGAUAUGUCUGUUGAUUUAUGUGCUCUCCCUACCUAAUAGCCAUACCUGGCACUGUGUAACAAUGAAUACUAUACUGCAGCUCAAACCAACAAAGUUUAAUCUUGCAGUUUUGCCAGAAAAAAACCUCUUAAUUCCUAAUUUGAAAGACUAAGAGCCCUCCAAGAUAUUUGUGCUGUGUACAGUGCAGCUGAUACACCCAAAGGGGCUUUAGACAUCUAAAAAGACUUUUUGUAAUGAAUGAAGAUAAUACAUAAGUGUGUCCUGAGGGAGGGCGCCAGCUGCGAGCCGCACAAAUCACAGAUAACCUCUGAGCCACAUGUGACGACUUUUCUUCCAGGAAAGCCGGGGAAUCGUUGAAUGACACUGCAUACCUCCGUGAUUAUCUGUCCCCAGUUAUAAUUACCGUGGAUCAGUUUACGACCCAUUAAAAUGCUCGCGUGUUAGCGUCCCUGAUUUCUGUCACAAGGCUUUUGCGAGCAAGACUUUGUUUAGUAUUUCAACAACAUGCUACGCAGCUAAGGUGGAGUCAGUGACAGGAUUACAGAUGACUGUAAUUAAAUAAUGCGUAAGACUAUUGUGCUUUGUGCCAUACUUUUGGAAACUGGACAAACUCCAAACCAUCUGUGUUUAUUGAACGUCAGUGUGUUGCUAAUGUGUAAAAACAAAUACAGAUAUCCUGAACAUUAGAUAUGCUUGUGUUAUAGCUCUUUGUUUGGAAAUCCCAG